CCUACGUGAGGCAGCAGUGGGGAAUAUUGCGCAAUGGGCGAAAGCCUGACGCAGCGACGCCGCGUGAGGGAUGAAGGUCUUCGGAUCGUAAACCUCUGUCAGCAGGGAAGAACGGUCACUGUGCUAAUCAGCAGUGAAUUGACGGUACCUGCAAAGGAAGCACCGGCUAACUCCGUGCCAGCAGCCGCGGUAAUACGGAGGGUGCGAGCGUUAAUCGGAAUUACUGGGCGUAAAGCGCUCGUAGGCGGUAUGUCAAGUCAAGGGUGAAAUCCCCGCGCUCAACGUGGGAACUGCCUUUGAAACUGGCAAACUGGAGUGUGUGAGAGGAUAGUGGAAGUCCAGGUGUAGGAGUGAAAUCCGUAGAUAUCUGGAGGAACAUCAGUGGCGAAGGCGACUAUCUGGCACAUAACUGACGCUGAGGAGCGAAAGCGUGGGUAGCAAACAGGAUUAGAUACCCCAGUAGUC
rnacentral:rRNA from 1 species